rnacentral:misc_RNA from 1 species
GAUGAAGAACGCAGCGAAAUGCGAUAAGUAAUGUGAAUUGCAGAAUUCAGUGAAUCAUCGAAUCUUUGAACGCACAUUGCGCCCCCUGGCAUUCCGGGGGGCAUGCCUGUUCGAGCGUCAUUACAACCCUCAAGCUCUGCUUGGUAUUGGGCUCUGCUGGGACCGGCAGGCCUUAAAAUCAGUGGCGGCGCCACUCGGCUUCAAGCGUAGUAAUUCUUCUCGCUUCGGAGACCCGGGUGCGUGCUAGCCAGCAACCCCCAACUUUCUUAGGUUGACCUCGGAUCAGGUAGGGAUACCCGCUGAACUUAAGCAUAUCAAUAGCGGAGGA